rnacentral:rRNA from 1 species
UUUAACGGACUUGGCGGCAAGAUAGCUUUUUAGAGGAACCUGCCCUGUAAACGAUGAACCACGAGGGCCCUACUUUUCUUAGUAAUAUUCAGUUUGUAUACCUCUGUUGUUAGUUAGACUCUAAAUAGUAUUUUCAUUUAUGAAAAAAUCAUUGACUUCAAGUAAAGGUGCAGCUUAUAGAAAAGAUAGAGGUGGGUUACAUUUUUAAGAUAAAGGCGUAUAAGAUAAUUUAAAUAAUCUUUGAAGGUGGAUUUAACUGUAAAACUUAAGAAGGUUUGAUUAUAGCUCUAUCUUGUGUA